CCCUUCUUAGGGUAGCACCUGGAGAGUUUCCAGAACUCUACCAGUCCCGACUACGGGAGGGAGAGUCAAGCAAAAGCAUAUCUAUUCCAUUCCUAGCUUGGACAGUGGCUAGCAAAUGGAAGACAACCUGCUACAAGU